AUGGCGGGAGAAUUUGGCGCCAUCCGCUCCACUUCCCGCCCCGCCGCGUCCCUAUUUAUCGUCCCCCGCCGCAGCCUCAACGCCUCUCCUUGUCUCUCUCGCCGCCGGCCACCGAGAACCCUGCUCUCCGUCGUCGCAAUGGCCGCCACCAACGGCGCCGGUGCUGACCCCGUGCACGAGCCACCCCACAAGAUCACCAAGAUGGCCCCCCUGCUCAAGGUCAAGAAGCUCUCCGACAAGGCCAUCCUGCCGUCCCGCGGCUCCGCCCUCGCCGCCGGCUACGACCUCUCCAGCGCGGUGGAGACGGUCGUGCCGGCGAGGGGCAAGGCGCUGGUGGCCACCGACCUGAGCAUCGCCAUCCCGGAGGGCACCUACGCGCGCAUCGGUGAGUCCCUCUUCUUUUUUCUCGGAUCACGUUUCUUGGCUGCGCGUCGGGUGUUUGACGAAAUGCUCACCGCCUCGUUCGUGUUCUUUGCAGCGCCGAGGUCGGGCCUGGCGCUGAAGCACUCCAUCGACGUGGGCGCCGGGGUGAUCGACGCUGACUACCGCGGCCCCGUGGGUGUCGUGCUCUUCAACCAUUCGGAGGUGGACUUUGCCGUGAAGCCCGGUGACCGCGUCGCGCAGAUGAUCAUCCAGGUGAUUACGACGCCAGAGAUCGCCGAGGUGGAGGACCUCGACGCCACCGUCCGUGGGGAGGGAGGGUUUGGGUCCACCGGCGUUUGA
rnacentral:rRNA from 1 species